CUUCCUUCUGAUGGAUUCGUGGUCUCCCUGGCUGAGGAGUGAAGCCGUAAACCUUCGCGGUGAGUUUUACAGCUCUUAAGGCAGGGCGUCUGGAGUUGUUCCCUCCUUCCAGUGGGCUCAUCAUCUCGCUGGCUUCAGAAAUGAAACUGCAGACUCUCCAGACAAGUGUUACAACUGCUAAGGCGACGCUUCUGGAGUUGUUCGUUCCUCUCGGUGGGCUCGUGGCUUCGCUGGCUUCAGAAGUGAGACUACAGAUCUUCCCGUGGCACAUGGACACCCAAGAACUUAAGGAGGUCAGAGAAAAUCUCAAAAGAAUAUGCAAAAUUUGUCCUGUACUCUUUCUACUUAUUACAAAAUAGUUAACUGUGAAACAGCCUCAGGCAGGCCCUCA
rnacentral:lncRNA from 1 species